rnacentral:rRNA from 1 species
AUUGAACGCUGGCGGCAGGCUUAACACAUGCAAGUCGAGCGGGGGAAGGUAGCUUGCUACCGGACCUAGCGGCGGACGGGUGAGUAAUGCUUAGGAAUCUGCCUAUUAGUGGGGGACAACAUCUCGAAAGGGAUGCUAAUACCGCAUACGUCCUACGGGAGAAAGCAGGGGAUCUUCGGACCUUGCGCUAAUAGAUGAGCCUAAGUCGGAUUAGCUAGUUGGUGGGGUAAAGGCCUACCAAGGCGACGAUCUGUAGCGGGUCUGAGAGGAUGAUCCGCCACACUGGGACUGAGAAACGGGCCAGACUCCGACGGGAGGCAGCAGUGGGGAAUAUUGGACAAUGGGGGGAACCCUGAUCCAGCCAUGCCGCGUGUGUGAAGAAGGCCUUAUGGUUGUAAAGCACUUUAAGCGAGGAGGAGGCUACUCUAGUUAAUACCUAGGGAUAGUGGACGUUACUCGCAGAAUAAGCACCGGCUAACUCUGUGCCAGCAGCCGCGGUAA